AGCUUUGAACAGUGUCCUAUCAUGUGACGUUUAUUCGAGGCGCGAUUAUUGCUUGUUGAAAACUUUUACCCAGUACCCCGCCUGGACGACUUGUACAGUUGGCUAUGGCAAUUUUUGACGGUCUCUAAGUAGA